GCCUCUUUGGUGUAGUUGGUUAUCACGUGGGUGAGUGGCCAGCAAUCCUUAGUGGCCCCGAUAUUAAUAAUGUUAGGUCUCAUAUGUAAUAUGAUUUGGUCAUCCAAAGUAAUCCCAAGCUCGCCAGUGCAAAUCUGGCAAGGGGCA